UCCUACAAAUACAUAUUGACAGCUAAUGUUACCCCUGACAAGUUCUCUCCUGAAAAGAGAUUUGAGUACAGUUUUAGAGGUUUCAAAUCGGCCUUGUUAAAUCAAGUUUAGCCUAAAGCUGUCUCCUUUUAUAUUUUAAGUUUGGCCUAAAGGUUUUGUUAUGGGCAGGUCUUUGUUGUUAGAGCUUCCAAGAUGGUGGCAAGCCUUUUGUUCUCAACCUGGGGUUCUUGGACUCACGGAUUCCAAGGAAUGGAAAUGUGGGCCAUGCGGUGGUGUCAGAAGUGGGAUUUGAAGUAGAGCUUCCAGAAACUUCCAGGAGCACUGAGUGACCAGGCAAGGUAUCUGCCAGGCCCACUGUGUGGAUUGUGCUCUUGCAGCAACUGGGGAUCAUGGCUUUUUCAUUUGGGUAAAUGAACUGACUCCAGCCAGACUUGUGACUCAUACCAAGGAACUCACUCAACUGGUCCUGUGACCUCACCCAGAAACUGACUCAGCACAUGAAGACAGUUUGGAUAUUCCUAUAAUUUCAUCUCCAACCAAUCAGCAGCACCUGUCAUCUAGCCCCCUGCCCUCCAAAUUAUCCUUAAAAACCCUAGC
rnacentral:lncRNA from 1 species